CGGCGAACGGGUGCGUAACACGUAUGUAAUCUACCUUAUACUGGGGAAUAGCUCUCGGAAACGAGAAUUAAUACCCCAUAUUAUUCUGAUAGCACAUGCUAACAGAAUGAAAGCUCCGGCGGUAUAAGAUGAGCAUGCGUCCCAUUAGCUUGUUGGUAAGGUAACGGCUUACCAAGGCAACGAUGGGUAGGGGUUCUGAGAGGAAGAUCCCCCACACUGGCACUGAGAUACGGGCCAGACUCCUACGGGAGGCAGCAGUAGGGAAUAUUGAUCAAUGGGCGCAAGCCUGAACCAGCCAUGCCGCGUGCAGGAUGAAGGCCCUCAGGGUCGUAAACUGCUUUUGUACGGGAACAAAAAGCCCCUGCGGGGGUCAUUGAGGGUACCGUAAGAAUAAGCACCGGCUAACUCCGUGCCAGCAGCCGCGGUAAU
rnacentral:rRNA from 1 species